rnacentral:snRNA from 1 species
AUACUUACCUGGCAGGGGAGAUACCAUGAUCACGAAGUUGGUUUUCCCAGGGCGAGACUGAUCCAUUGCACUCCGGAUGUGCUGACCCCUGCGAUUUCCCCAAAUGUGGGAAACUCGAGUGCAUAAUUUGUGGUAGUGGAGUACUGUGUUCGCGCUUUCCCCCU